CGCGCCCGUGCAACCCGCGCCGACCGCCACUCUCCGGCCUUCCGGCAGUUUGGUUCUUUCUUGUAAUACCUACUUGUUCCCUCUGUAGCUCGCGAUUUCUUCCUUCUUUGUGGUACUUGCUUUCCUCCUUUUUACCUAUAUCUUCUCGCCUCGCUUUUUCUUUUUGUUUUUUCCGUCCUAUUUCCAUCCAGAGCUUCGCGGCAUCGGUUGUUGUUUUCGGUACUUAUACUUACUUGGUGCGGUGUGACGUUUUAUUGUGUGCGGCUCGACGAGGCUUUUGGAUCUUACGGGAAAGGAGCUGUUGUGUACAUUCAUACAACACGAAAAUCUACCCGCGAGACUAAUCGAUUUCUCCACGCAUGGGCGCCCUUUUGACGACACAAAGAAGACACAGAUGCUGUUACGAGCAGACUCGAUGAUUCUCUCAAGGACGUGCUCGAACCGAGUGCUCUCAAGCUAAAGAAGUGCGCGUAUUGUGGUGUACUUACAUACAAAAAAAAAAAA